UACAGAGGGGGCAAGCGUUGUUCGGAAUUACUGGGCGUAAAGGCGCGUAGGCGGCCUUCUAAGUCGAACGUGAAAUCCCUGGGCUCAACCCAGGAACUGCGUCCGAUACUGGGAGGCUUGAAUCCGGGAGAGGGAUGCGGAAUUCCAGGUGUAGCGGUGAAAUGCGUAGAUAUCUGGAGGAACACCGGUGGCGAAGGCGGCAUCCUGGACCGGCAUUGACGCUGAGGCGCGAAAGCCAGGGGAGCAAAGCGGG
rnacentral:rRNA from 1 species